UCCGAUAUGGUGUAGUGGUUAACAUCCCGCGUUUUCAUGCUUUAAAGCAGUUCCGCGGAGCCCGGGGUUCAAUUCCCCGUAUCGGAG
rnacentral:tRNA from 1 species